rnacentral:rRNA from 1 species
GACGUAGGAUCCGAGCGUUGUCCGGAGUUACUGGGCGUAAAGGGCGCGUAGGCGGACAGUUAAGUCAGAGGUGAAAGCCCAGGGCUCAACCCUGGAAUAGCCUUUGAUACUGGCUGUCUUGAGUGCGGGAGAGGUGUGUGGAACUCCGAGUGUAGAGGUGAAAUUCGUAGAUAUUCGGAAGAACACCAGUGGCGAAGGCGACACACUGGCCCGUAACUGACGCUGAGGCGCGAAAGCGUGGGGAGCAAACAGG